GUCCAGCUGACGAGUCCCAAAUAAGAGGAAACGCGCGUCCUGGAU
rfam:Schistosoma curassoni strain Dakar, Senegal genome assembly, scaffold: SCTD_scaffold0015130